CCGUCCCCCGUUUCGAGCGGACUCAUUUCUAGGGUUAGGGUUUCGUUCCCGCAGUCGGCUCGGUGUUAGGGUCAGGCUUAGGGUUUCUCUUUCGUUCGUUAGGGUUACGGUUUCUCUCUCGCCGCUGACAUCGUCACGGCGGAUAUUACGACGGCCACCGAAAUCAUCCCCUCGAAGAAUGGGGACCUUGGUACCAAAACCAAAUAAAAAAGGCCUUCCGAAGGCUUUCGAAGCCCUUCAAGCCCUCGUCCCGUUUAGUCUCCAACGGAGAGACCUUGAGGACCACUUCGCCUCCAUCCUUAUAUCAGCAUACCAUCUUUCGGGACUGAUUGGUGAAUGUUACCAGGAUGAUAUUCUGCAAUUCUGAGGCGUAUUUUAUUAACAUCUUUCAGUCUUGUGUUUUCCUGCUACAUUUAGAAGGUACGGUAACUUGUAUGUUAGUAUUCCUCUCUCUUCAGCUCACACAGGAAAUGGUCAUGGAUCAACGUUUGGCAGCUUGCCAUUUGAAUUGUUUCUGCUUGUAGUUAACCAUGAAGUGACCUGAGCAUGAGAUCUGUGUUUAUGCCCUUUGCUCACAUUGUUGGAAGUUUACAUUUUAGUUACUGCUCCAGUUUCAACGUUCAGAAGAAAGAGGCUAUGGUUUCCCGUGUGCAGACAAUUUGCACUUGCUACAGAUCUCUGCUUUGCCUUCGUGGCACUCGUUGCAUGAUGUUUCCACAUUGAGGAUCAAAAAAGGAGUAGCUGGAAUUGUAUCGAUGAUAAAUUGAAGGAAUUGAACUCAAUCAUGAGUAGUGAAAAGUCUGGUGAUUCAAAGAUUUGAUCUCAGCUGUGUUGUGGGUGUAGUUAGAAGCUUUAGGUAAUUGUGGCAUAAGCUAGUUCAUCUUAUGCCAGUUAUGAUGAAACUUUCAUUGGAGCCAGGUGGUCAUCAUGUCUUUUCAUUCUAUUGUGGUGUGCUAUAUUUUCAUCUAUUGCAGUGCGAUGCUAAUUAUUAAUAGUUA